rnacentral:rRNA from 1 species
CGAUGGCUCGUGACGACCGCGGGGCCCAACGGCCUUCGCGCGUUUACACGGCCGUCGCGAUACGUCCGGCGGCGUCGGCGUGCACUUCUCCCCUAGUAGGACGUCGCGACCCGUUGGGUGCCGAUCUAAGGCCCGGGUGGGUGUCUGUCGCGUCGCUUCGGCGCACGGGGCAAACCCUCGGUCUUGCCAGUAUCGGCUGCCCGGCGGUACUCGCAAUCAUGGUAUCGGGCCGCAAAAUUCGAACUGCGUCGGGCCCGCCGCAAGCGCGGCCAGCGACAUUCGCGGAGGUACGGACCUGGUGCCGUCCCCGUGCCUGGCCAGCUGUUGGCAGGCGGUGCAUCCUGACAGGCCAAAAACUCACGAAAGUGUGAUACCGGUCGGCGACGCUACUGCUUUGGGUAAUCUCAGGACCCGUCUUGAAACACGGACCAAGGAGUCUAACAUGUGCGCGAGUCAUUGGGACAAGCAUGCCUAAAGGCGAAAUGAAAGUGAAGGUCGGCCUAGCGCCAACCGAGGGAGGAUGGGCCGCGUCACGAUGCGGCUUCGCACUCCCGGGGCGUCUCGUUCUCAUUGCGAGAAGAGGCGCACCCAGAGCGUACACGUUGGGACCCAAAAAGGG